rnacentral:rRNA from 1 species
UCGAGCGAAUCUAAAGGGAGCUUGCUCCCGGAAGAUUAGCGGCGGACGGGUGAGUAACACGUGGGCAACCUACCUGUAAGUCUGGGAUAACUUCGGGAAACCGGAGCUAAUACCGGAUAAUUUCUUUCUUCGCAUGAAGAAAGGUUGAAAGACGGCUUUGCUGUCACUUACAGAUGGGCCCGCGGCGCAUUAGUUAGUUGGUGAGGUAACGGCUCACCAAGACCACGAUGCGUAGCCGACCUGAGAGGGUGAUCGGCCACACUGGGACUGAGACACGGCCCAGACUCCUACGGGAGGCAGCAGUAGGGAAUCUUCCGCAAUGGACGAAAGUCUGACGGAGCAACGCCGCGUGAGUGAAGAAGGUCUUCGGAUCGUAAAACUCUGUUAUCAGGGAAGAACAAGUACCGGAGUUACUGCCGGUACCUUGACGGUACCUGACCAGAAAGCCACGGCUAACUACGUGCCAGCAGCCGCGGUAAUACGUAGGUGGCAAGCGUUGUCCGGAAUUAUUGGGCGUAAAGCGCGCGCAGGCGGUUCUUUAAGUCUGAUGUGAAAUCUUGCGGCUCAACCGUGAGCGGUCAUUGGAAACUGGAGAACUUGAGUGCAGAAGAGAAGAGCGGAAUUCCACGUGUAGCGGUGAAAUGCGUAGAGAUGUGGAGGAACACCAGUGGCGAAAGCGGCUCUUUGGUCUGUAACUGACGCUGAGGCGCGAAAGCGUGGGGAGCGAACAGGAUUAGAUACCCUGGUAGUCCAC